UGAAACACGGACCAAGGAGUCUAAAUAUGCGCGAGCCAUUGAGUGUUAAAAACUCACAGGCGCAAUAAAAGUAAACGAAGUCUCCGACUUCCAGAUACGAUCUCUUAUUACUAGUAAAAUAGUAAUUUGAGCGCAGUAUCGUCCCGUCUCGAUCGCAUGUCGAUAGGGCGGAGAUAGAGUGCAUACGUUGGGACCCGAAAGAUGGUGAACUAUGCCUGAGCAGAGCGAAGCCAGAGGAAACUCUGGUGGAGGUUCGUAGCGGUUCUGACGUGCAAAUCGAUCGUCAGACUUGGGUAUAGGGGCGAAAGACUAAUCGAACCAUCUAGUAGCUGGUUCCCCCUGAAGUUUCCCUCAGGAUAGCUGAUACUCGGGAAAUCAGGAAGUUUUAUCCGGUAAAGCGAAUGAUUAGAGGCCUUGGGGACGAAAUGACCUCAACCUAUUCUCAAACUUUAAAUGGGUAAGAAGUCGUUUGGCUUGCUCGACCGAAGCCCGGCAAUGAAUUCGAGUAUCAGUGGGCCAUUUUUGGUAAGCA
rnacentral:rRNA from 1 species